UCCCGGUUGGUGUAGUCGGCAGCACGGCGGAUUUUGGAUCCGUCCAGCCCAGGUUCGAACCCUGGACCGGGAGCCG
rnacentral:tRNA from 1 species